rnacentral:lncRNA from 1 species
GUGAAUAACCGUAGAAUGUAUGCUAUUAUCGGUAUGUGAUUUUGCCGCUUCUGUGUUUGGGCCCUUGGUGUUACCUUAUUUUCCCUCUAAUGGAAAUUGUUCACCAACAUUGGACUCAAAGAAUCCGUGAAGAGACAGUUCGUCGGAAGCUUAGUUCAGCGAUAUGGAAUUUUCAACAGAAUGCAUUAUAUCAGGAAUAUCGCACCCAAAUAUAAAUGGUAUCCUGACCAAAUAAAUUAUCAGCAUCAAGUAUACAUCCGUGCGACUUUUCAGCAGCAAUCAUGGAAUCAACAAGAAGGAAGAGAUGCGUAC